UACGGCCACAUGACUUUGAUACACCGGUCCCCGUAUGAUAACCGAAGUUAAGCAACGUCGAGCCAAGCUAGUAUCUACUUGAGUGACGGAUUUGGAAUACCAGGUGCUGUAAG